rnacentral:rRNA from 1 species
GAUGAACGCUGGCGGCGUGCCUAAUACAUGCAAGUCGAGCGAACGGACGAGAAGCUUGCUUUUCUGAUGUUAGCGGCGGACGGGUGAGUAACACGUGGAUAACCUACCUAUAAGACUGGGAUAACUUCGGGAAACCGGAGCUAAUACCGGAUAAUAUUUUGAACCGCAUGGUUCAAAAGUGAAAGACGGUCUUGCUGUCACUUAUAGAUGGAUCCGCGCUGCAUUAGCUAGUUGGUAAGGUAACGGCUUACCAAGGCAACGAUGCAUAGCCGACCUGAGAGGGUGAUCGGCCACACUGGAACUGAGACACGGACCAGACUCCUACGGGAGGCAGCAGUAGGGAAUCUUCCGCAAUGGGCGAAAGCCUGACGGAGCAACGCCGCGUGAGUGAUGAAGGUCUUCGGAUCGUAAAACUCUGUUAUUAGGGAAGAACAUAUGUGUAAGUAACUGUGCACAUCUUGACGGUACCUAAUCAGAAAGCCACGGCUAACUACGU